CAGUCGCCGCGGGAAUACAGAGGGUGCAAGCGUUAAUCGGAAUUACUGGGCGUAAAGCGCGCGUAGGUGGUUUGUUAAGUUGGAUGUGAAAUCCCCGGGCUCAACCUGGGAACUGCAUCCAAAACUGGCAAGCUAGAGUAUGGUAGAGGGUGGUGGAAUUUCCUGUGUAGCGGUGAAAUGCGUAGAUAUAGGAAGGAACACCAGUGGCGAAGGCGACCACCUGGACUGAUACUGACACUGAGGUGCGAAAGCGUGGGGAGCAAACAGGAUUAGAUACCCGUGUAGUCCCUGUCUCUUAUAA
rnacentral:rRNA from 1 species